GCCUGACUCGCUCUGUUGGUAGAGCAUAAGACUCAUAAUCUCAGGGUAGUGCGUUCGUGUUCCACGUCGGGUG
rnacentral:tRNA from 1 species